AUUGAACGCUGGCGGCAGGCCUAACACAUGCAAGUCGAACGAGGGGCGGACGGGUGAGUAAUGUCUGGGAAACUGCCUGAUGGAGGGGGAUAACUACUGGAAACGGUAGAUAAUACAGCAUACCAUCAGAUGUGCCCAGAUGGGAUUAGCGAGGUGGUGGGGUAACGGCUCACCAAGGCGACGAUCCCUAGCUGGUGUGAGAGGAUGACCAGCCACACUGGAACUGAGACACGGUCCAGACUCCUACGGGAGGCAGCAUAGGGGCAUAUUGCACAAUGGGCGCAAGCCGGAUGCAGCCAUGCCGCGUGUAUGAAGAAGGCCUUCGGGUUGUAAAGUACUUUCAGCGGGGAGGCGUUACCCGCAGAAGAAGCACCGGCUAACUCCGUGCCAGCAGCCGCGGUAAUUC
rnacentral:rRNA from 1 species